rnacentral:tRNA from 1 species
UCCCUGAUGGCUUAGUGGUUAAGGAUCAGGCAUUGUCACUGCUGUGGCCCAGGUUCAACUCCUGGUCCAGGAU